rnacentral:rRNA from 1 species
GAUGAACGCUGGCGGCGUGCCUAAUACAUGCAAGUCGAGCGAACAGAUGAGGAGCUUGCUCCUCUGACGUUAGCGGCGGACGGGUGAAUAACACGUGGAUAACCUACCUAUAAGACUGGGAUAACUUCGGGAAACCGGAGCUAAUACCGGAUAAUAUAUUGAACCGCAUGGUUCAAUAGUGAAAGACGGUUUUGCUGUCACUUAUAGAUGGAUCCGCGCCGCAUUAGCUAGUUGGUAAGGUAACGGCUUACCAAGGCAACGAUGCGUAGCCGACCUGAGAGGGUGAUCGGCCACACUGGAACUGAGACACGGUCCAGACUCCUACGGGAGGCAGCAGUAGGGAAUCUUCCGCAAUGGGCGAAAGCCUGACGGAGCAACGCCGCGUGAGUGAUGAAGGUCUUCGGAUCGUAAAACUCUGUUAUUAGGGAAGAACAAAUGCGUAAGUAACUAUGCACGUCUUGACGGUACCUAAUCAGAAAGCCACGGCUAACUACGUG